AAGCACCGCAUUUAGGCUAUUUCGUGGCGGCCAGUUUUUAUUGGUGGAGGAAGCCGGAGUGCCCGGAGAAAAUCACCGACAUUCGAUAGGAGAACUGACAUUCCUAGUCAAUUAAGAUUCGAGUCGAGUGCACCCAUACGAGCGGGGUUCGAACUCACAACCUCAGUGUUGACUGGCUAGUGAUUACAGUAGUAACUACUUAGACCACUCGGCCAC
rnacentral:lncRNA from 1 species